AUUCAACCCUUCUUGCGCCAGACCAUCGGCACCCGUGAGUGACCCCCUCCUGCCACACAUGGUGUUCCCUAGUGAUCUCCCUCUGUCAUCCCAGUGUGGCCAUGGCCAGCCCCCAGUGCUCCCAGCCCAUAAAGGAGAAUGUAAGAGAAAGAAAGGGGCUCAAGUGAUCACCCAGGCCCAUAUCCAUGCUGUACAGAUCAGGAAACUGGGGUCCAGCGAAGGGCCAGUGCCUCACCACAGCCUGCCCUGAGAGCAGGAGCUGGGAACAGAACCAGGGCCUCCUGUCCACACUCAGGUUAUCAAGAUCAUUCAUUAGGGGCAUCUGUUGCAUGCCCUGUGUCAUGCUGGGUGCUGAGCAUGUGGUGGCGAUGGCACAGAUAUGUGGAGGUUUUGUCCCCUCCUCAGUCCACCUUGACCCAAGCACUGGGGGGUUCCCAGCUGGUCUGUAAGCUGUGCCCCCUGGGCUGUGCCAGUCCCCUCCCCAGGGGCAGCUCCACCCUCUCCUAACUCUCCUUGCCCACGUCUCCCCUGAACCUGCUGGCCCCAGCCGUGAUUCAGUUGCUCAACCGGGUGCGUCAGGAGUUUGAGUUCAACAUGACAGCCACCCACCACUUCUCUGUGGAUCUCAAUGCCUCUCGGAGCCUGUCCCAGGUAGCCAUGGACCUCCACGAGGCUGUCAGCAUGAAGCUGCACCGUGUCCGAGAGGCCCUGGCUCUGAUGGGCUUCACCACGCCUCUGCUGCUUGUGCUUCUCUACCUCCAAGCCCUAUUUUACCGUUAUUGUUACCUGAACUGGGACCAUUAUGACAAUAUCUACAUCACCAGCCGAUUCCUGCGCAUGGAGGCUGUGCGCUCCACGGCAGGGCUGCCCACAGUGCUACCGCUCAGUGCUCACGAGGCCAGGCGCUACAUCCCACCGGGCUCCAUCUUCUUGUCCCAAUGGGAGAAGUUUUUUUACAUUCUGGAGACCUUCAACCUUAUCCGACACCUCCUCCUCGUGCUGUUCCUAGUCUUCCUAGACUAUGCUGUCUUCUGGGUGCUUGACCUGGCCCGGCACCAGCUGCAGGGGGAGAUUGUGGCCCGCAGUCCUGUGUUGGUGUCUAUAACCGUGGAAGGUACUGGCUAUGCUGGGAAUAUUUAUCGUGACCUGGUGUCAGCAUUUGAUGUCCUGCAGCAAGGCAACAUCAGUAUUUUGUCCCGGCGUUGUCUCCUUCGUCCCUCGGAGCCUGACAGCACUGGCUACAUAGUCAUUGGCGUCAUGUAUGGCCUAUGCUUCUUCAUCACCCUGUUUGGCAGCUAUGUCAGCCGGCUGCGGCGAGUCAUCUGUGCCUCCUACUAUCCAUCCCGGGAGCAGGAGAGGAUCUCCUACCUGUACAACAUACUUCUGAGCCGCCGAACCAAUCUGUUGGCUGCCUUGCACCGAUCAGUGAGGCGGCGGGCAGCUGACCAGGGCCACAGAAGUGCCUUCCUAGUGCUGGCCAGUCGGUGCCCCUGCCUAGGUCCAUUUGUCAGCCACUUUUGGCUACAUCAGGCCUACUGCCUGGGCUGUGGGCAGCCCCAGGAUGAGGGAGACAUGGAGAACAUUGUGUCCUGCAGUACCCCGGGCUGCCAAGCUCUCUACUGCCUCACUUGCUUCCGCCUCCUGGACAAUACCUGCUCCGUGUGUGCGUCUCCCCUCUCCUACCAGGGGGACCUGGACGUGGAGCUGGACUCCAGCGAUGAGGAGGGCCCUCAGCUAUGGCUGGCUGCAGCUCAAAGGAAGGACCCUGAGCAGGCAUGGUUACUGCAGCAACAGCUCCAAGAAGUGCUCGGCAGGAGCCUCUCAAUGGAGUCCACUUCCGAGUCCAGUGACCUGGAUGAGGAGAAGGGGCCUCAGCAGAGGAAGCAUGGGCAGCAGCCCUUACCUGAAGCCCAUCAGCCUGUCAGCAUUCUCACCAGCCCUAAGCCCCACAGACCACCUGAACCAUCCUCCGCCCCCAAAGCAGCCCCCACUCCAGCUUCAGAACCCUCAGUCCCUCUCUCACCUCCCUCUCUUCCUGAUCCUUCCCACCCACCCCCCAAAUAAACCAAAAGUGGAC
rnacentral:sRNA from 1 species